rnacentral:snoRNA from 1 species
UGCAGCCAUGUCAAAUUCAGUACUUGUCUUCUCCCUGGUGGGUACUGGCCCAUCCAGCUGCCACAGCAACACCUGUAGUUCAUGGGCCCCACAUCCCACUCAUGGACCCUGGGGAUAAAACCGUGCUACAGACACCC